CAGCAGCCGCGGUAAUACCGGCGGCCCGAGUGGCGGCUACUAUUAUUGGGCCUAAAGCGUCCGUAGCCGGGCUGGGAAGUCCUCCGGGAAAUCUGGUCGCUUAACGAUCAGACUUCCGGAGGAUACUGCUGGCCUAGGGACCGGGAGAGGCCGAGGGUAUUCCCGGGGUAGGGGUGAAAUCCUGUAAUCCCGGGAGGACCACCUGUGGCGAAGGCGCUCGGCUGGAACGGGUCCGACGGUGAGGGACGAAGGCCAGGGGAGCGAACCGGAUUAGAUACCCGGGUAGUCCUGGCUGUAAACGAUGCGGACUAGGUGUCGGGCAAGCUAAGGGCUUGUCCGGUGCCGCAGGGAAGCCGUUAAGUCCGCCGCCUGGGGAGUACGGCCGCAAGGCUGAAACUUAAAGGAAUUGGCGGG
rnacentral:rRNA from 1 species